GCUGGCUAUAAACGAAUGGAUGAAUUUAGCUGAAGCAGACGUCAGUAAAAUUUGUCAACUCGGUCGCAACUGAAACACUCGUUGGGAAGACUACAAAGAAUAAUCAAACGCCGCAGCAACAAUGAUAUAACGACACGCAAAUGUUGUUACGCUUCUGGGAGUUGCCUGCCUGGCCGUGUCGAAUAUUAUUAUUAUUAUGAGACUGACAAAAAUUUGUAUAGCGGUGGCAUCCGGAGAUGAGUACGCUAUCAUAUCGGUGAAACAACGCCCGCCUAAGAUGCUUCUAGCAGAUUGCCAGCCCGCAUACUCAAACGGAAUAUUUUCUAAACGUGGUAAAUAGUGCUCUUCUAAAAGGUGGUACGCUUGACAGUCAAUAACGUAUUACAGCAGAUUAUAAUGCAGAUAGCCGCUGAACUAUAUCUCACCGAAGGCGAGCGUCGCCAUUUUCUGUUUUGUUGAAGCGACUAGUCGAUGCGAUAUUCCGAUUUUCCGUAAUGGCAACUAUACUGCCGACCAUAUAUGGAACAAAACAGCAUCUAGAACAACCAAUGUGGUGGUGGCGCUAGUGGUGAAAUUUGUAUAUCGCUAAACACAUGCUCCGCUGUUCACAAGCCUCCAGCGAUGGUCGUCACCUGUUGGCUAAACUGAACUCAACGAUACGCUGUGAGGUGAAUACAAUUACACUUAUCUGGCUAUGUACUUCUGGCGACACCACUUCCAAGAAGAGGCGGUCAACUUUAUGGGGGAGUUAUAGUAUUGUUAACUCGGCCAGAAAUUCUUUCAUUAUCGAAGCAAUUUACUGCGCGCAGAAAGAAAACCACAACGGCAAAGCUGAAGACGCUAGGCUUAAAUGACAAACUCAAAUACGAUAAGUUUGGGAAGAACUUUUUCAAUUGAAGCAUCAGGCCAGCACAGAAAGGUAUAGUGUUUAGAUCUAUGAGAAGAACACAGCAGUACUGCUUCGAUCUAAACAUGCCAAUAUGAAAGGGCAACGGAUUUCUUUCAACGCAUAAAAACAUUGUCGUUUUUUUUUUGAAUACGUUCACUGCUUAAUCAAACUAGUAGAAAAUCUGUUAUAUUCGGAAUAACGUGGUGGAAUAACAAUGGUGCGUGAGGAAUGUUCUGCUACAUUCAGAAUUUUAGAGAUUAGACUGUGAAUGAAAAGGCAUACAUUGGAAAAAUACACAUGGCCUUAUAUAAGGUACAGCACCUAAAAAAGCAAACUUUGUCGAGCUGUUUGUCGAAGCGGGCACAUAGGGGCGACACGGACUGGGUGAUAAGUGCGCAAAAAAACCCUUCAAUGCAUUGCCAUAGUAACUACAACUAACAGGCACAUAGUCAUGCUGGCUCAAAUCCAGCGACGGUAAAAAACAUUACUAGAUUAAUCAGAAACUAAGAAAUUAAAAAAAGAGAAGGUAUUAAUAUUACGAUCAGUAGUUGCUUAUAUGGUUCGCACGCUGUUUCACAGCUCUGUUGGAAAAACUCUGGAAAACGAUAGGACCCAUUACGGUUAGGCUUGUAAUGAGGCAAAUCCUUGACGCUGAUCGAAAUGGCGAUUCUGAGCGCUUGUUGAGACGAAAUAAAUAACCAACAGUGUUAAAAAAAUUAUUAUCCUUAUUUGUACUAGAAGAAAGCCUGUUCUCUUUAGAACAAAACAACAGAUUUGCCAUAGUGGAAAACAAACGUUUUUGCAAUUUAGGUUACAAUGAUCUACAAUCAAGCUUUUCCACGCUCCCAAAGCUUUUUCUUUGUAGUCUACGUUAAUGUUAAUUUUCAUGCGACUUCUGAAAAGAACCGAGGGAGAUUUCUGUAAAGCAAGCGAGUUUUUUUAACAGGUUAAAGGAUUUGAAAAUUCACCAAAAACUAUUUUUGAUACAGCUGCUUUUUAUGCGGAAAUUAACUAUAGUUUAGAAAAGGAAAAUAUACACUAUCGAUUGAGUGAUCCAAAAAAGCUCUAACAGUUAGUACUUUUAUGCUUUUUGGACUUUUUCGCCAUCAUGGUUCACUACAUUUUUGGGAUUUUUAGCCUGCUGUCAGCAAAAAAAAUAGUUUUACUGUAAUUUCCCGUAUGCAAUUUACUUAAGCGAUACUUAAAAAGGUUCAUGCCUGCCAAUAUCGCUCAAUGCAAAAUUAGUGCUAAAGAGUUACUGACGAAAACGACUGGUAAUUGGUUUGGCCCAGAACUAGGACUGUAAUCACGGUAGCUGGUUGUUAUAUUGAAUAAACAUGAUCACUAAUAAUGGCACUUCUAGAGAAUGUAACUUUUUUUGUUAAUAGAUCUGCUUUCAUUUAGAUGUAGUUUUAGAAACAAACCAUGAAAAAGCUACCAAUUUAGAUGCCGUAUUUUGUAUACUUCUCUAGCAUUUAGGUCCUGUCUUUUAGACCAAUACGUAUUGGUCGUAUAGAGUGAAAACGAUAAACCAAGUACACAAUUGCCACGCUAAAAGUCUAGGAUAAUUUCUGAAUGAUUUCACUCAUUUUUUAAGUGGGUGUAGUCUAGAUUUGAAAUUGCCAUAGCGCGCUCGCCAUUUCGAAUCAAAAAAAUUCAAAGACGUUAAAUCAGAAAGGUCUGGUGCAGGUCUGCAUUGUUUGCAUAUGAAACGAUAUUUUAUUCCUUGUCUUUAGCAAUUGAAUAAUAAGAGGAACGGAUUCUCUAUUUAGUAAUGUGGGCACGAUACAAUAUAAUUUAUUAUAGUCAUUCCUUGACUACCAAGCCGGCUGUUUCCGUUGUCUAACUUUGCAAUCUUUACAAUAUCAACUAACCACGCAUGAAGUUCAUACGUUUACAUAGGACAGUGUGAGUUAUGAGAAGCUGGCUACGAUAUCUUACGAUGAUAUGAUGAACCAUUUUUCACUUAACUUUUCAAACUUUCUGUAGCUCAUAUUUCGUAAGUUCCAUUACUUGGAACCACUUUCGAAGCAAACACAGUUGUUGUCGCGUUAUUAUCGACCAUCUUUAACAACACGCAGACGCUUCCCCUUACCACCUUACUGACCGUUUCGAGUCGAAUAGUGUUGAAAGACCGUCUGCAUUAUUAGCGCCACACACUGCAAAGAGCCCGUGCUAUCUAUGUCUCGAAUAAGGAAGCUUUCUCCUGUAAGUUUCCCUCUGAGAAUCAUCUACCACGUUUGGCUUCCAUGUGCUAGAAGCACUAAAGCCAUUGGCGGCCGGCACGGCGACGCAGUUUGAUAGCCAACUGAUUUCCGUCCAUAGAUUUUAGAUCCGCCAUUCGAAGUCAGAUGCUAUUGCAAACAUUUUACAGCAAGUUGUUAUCGAGUUAUCACACCUAUUGAAGCCUUGCCAGUAUUUUAUUAAACUUUGAUACAAUAAGUAAGGAAAGAUAGCUAAAUCUAACUGGCCCUUUUAAAUAGAUUAGGGUUUUUUCAUGCAUAUAAACGAUUAGAGUAUGUAUUUACUUUCGUGAAUCCAGUGUUUACAUUUAACUUCGGAUGUGUCAUAGGUUCUACGGUUGAAAGCAGGUAUUAAACGUAUAAUUUUAUGUUAAAUUUCACUGGGAACCUACGUUACCUUUGCCACUACUAACAACUGACCCCCGAAUUUACCUUUUCGAGGAAACGUUAACAAAAAUUCAACCAAGUAUAAUACAAUAGAGGCUAUUGGGGCACAGAAGAGAAUGAAUCAGAUAAAGCAGUAGUUAGACUGACUGUGGCUUUUUGCAAGCUUGGUUUUCAGAUACUGCAUAUAGCUAUAUCAAAUAAUGAAUAGCACGUGGUAGAGUGCACCUUAUUUUCUUAUUAUACCUGGUACAUGAGAUGUCUUAAGGAGACUCGCGU